CAUAUACUUAGAAAAGGCUUUAAUGGUGCUAUCAAACCAGAAGCUCUUAAGGGGAUGACUAGAGAUUGAUAUUCUCUACAGGAUGUCAGUCACUCAAUAGUGCUAAUGUUUUCCUAAACAGAGAUGAGA
ensembl:snoRNA Gm55141 predicted gene, 22435